UUCAUCUUUGCAUUCGGUCUAUAAAC
rnacentral:piRNA from 1 species